GAGAUUGACGAAGCAAUGGAAUUUAAUGAUUCGACUGGACUCGCCAUUUUGGAGCUGAGGCUGAUUUCAGAUUGAAUCGUACGUGACGCUGUAGUCUCUCGCUCCGGCGAUCCCCGAUAACGGCGGAGUUGGACGCAGUGGCGAGCUCAAUAUGACGGAAAAUAGAGAGAGCAACUAUUAACGAUGAAAUUUUCGGAAUAAUGUAGUCUCUCGCUCCGGCGAUCCCCGAGAACGGCGGAGUUGGAGGUAGUGGCGAGCUCAAUAUGACGGAAAAUAGAGAGAGAAACCGUUAACGAUGAAACUUUUGGAAUA
rnacentral:lncRNA from 1 species